rnacentral:rRNA from 3 species
GGACUACAAGGGUAUCUAAUCCCGUUUGCUCCCCUGGCUUUCGCGCCUCAGCGUCAGAUCGGGUCCAGCGUGCCGCCUUCGCCACCGGAGUUCCUGUGGAUAUCAACGCAUUUCACCGCUCCACCCACAGUUCCGCACGCCCCUACCCGCCUCGAGGCCUCCAGUAUUCGAGGCAGUUCUCCGGUUGAGCCGGAGGAUUUCACCUCGAACUUGGCGGCCCGCCUACGCGCCCUUUAAGCCCAGUUAUUCCGAACAACGUUCGCUCGGUUCGUCUUACCGCGGCGGCUGGCAC